GGAAGUAAAAAGUCGUAACAAGGGCUCCGUUGGUGAACCAGCGGAGGGAUCAUUACCGAGUUUACAACUCCCAAACCCCUGUGAACAUACCAUUCGUUGCCUCGGCGGUGCCUGCUUCGGCAGCCCGCCAGAGGACCCAAACCCUUGAUUUUAUACAGUAUCUUCUGAGUAAAUGAUUAAAUAAAUCAAAACUUUCAACAACGGAUCUCUUGGUUCUC
rnacentral:misc_RNA from 1 species